rnacentral:rRNA from 1 species
UAAAGGAAUUGGCGGGGGAGCACUACAACGGGUGGAGCCUGCGGUUUAAUUGGAUUCAACGCCGGGAAGCUUACCGGGGGAGACAGCGGAAUGAAGGUCGGGCUGAAGACCCUACCAGACUAGCUGAGAGGUGGUGCAUGGCCGCCGUCAGUUCGUACUGUGAAGCAUCCUGUUAAGUCAGGCAACGAGCGAGACCCGCGCCCCCAGUUGCCAGCGGAUCCCUUCGGGGAUGCCGGGCACACUGGGGGGACUGCCGGCGCUAAGCCGGAGGAAGGUGCGGGCAACGGCAGGUCCGUAUGCCCCGAAUCCCCCGGGCUACACGCGGGCUACAAUGGCCGGGACAAUGGGUACCGACCCCGAAAGGGGCAGGUAAUCUCCUAAACCCGGUCUAACCUGGGAUCGAGGGCUGCAACUCGCCCUCGUGAACCUGGAAUCCGUAGUAAUCGCGCCUCAAAAUGGCGCGGUGAAUACGUCCCUGCUCCUUGCACACACCGCCA